rnacentral:lncRNA from 1 species
AAACUAAUUGCGCAGUUCUUGUUUCCUUGUUCUGCGUUGAUGUUUUAUACCUACACCGCUCACCGCGAGUUUUCCACCUUCGUUUUGUUUCUGUGCCCGAGACUGAGAGCGUGGACAGGCUGUCUAAAACCACACCGAUCUGUGCUGACCGCCCGCCAGUUCCUGCUCUGUUGGCCGAAAUCCCCAGGUCUGGCUGCGCAAUUCCCCAAAUGCGAAGCUGGAUGACGAAUGCUCUCCCUGUGCCUUGCUCUGCGGGGAUCUGCAGCAAGGUGGCGUGGUGUAGUUGAGAGGACGAGAAAGCGCGAUUCAGGGCAGUCAGCCCGAGGCAGGCGCCGGCUCAGGUCAGCCCUUUUAUUUCGGCCGUCCCUCCGGGACGAAGCCGCGGCUUUUCUGCCUCAUCACGCUGGGGCCCCUGACCGCAGCUGGCACCGCGCGCCGGCGUCCUGAGGGCGGUGAGAAACGCGCGGGGUCCCCCGGGACUCCAGCACCUGAGAGCCUUCGUUGCUCAGCCGCGGGGAGCAGCCGCUCGCUCGCGUCCCGCGGCGAGGCCAUGGCCGGGUCCCAGCUGCCCACAUGUAAUUAAAGGACGGCUUUGGGAAGCGAUGCGCUUCUUGCGGCUUUUCUGUCCGGAGUGGAGUUCAAAGCCAAGGCCCCGGCAUAAAUGCCAGGCACGGAGGAAUCCCCGGGUGCAGGGGGAAUUUGCUGAUGCACCCUCGUGGUUUCUCACUGGUCUUUUUUUUUUCUGACCCGAGGGGCCAAACGCAAACUUGACGCUUCACAGUCCGCGCAGACUAGGGGAGAGGCUGCUCGUCAUCGCCCCGUGCCUCUGGUUUUGCGCCCAGAACGUGUUUCUUCGGGACACUCGUUGGCCCCCGUCCCGCGGGCGUCCCCGUGGGGACCGAGCUGUCGUCGUGCCGCCUCGUCCCCACCGCCCAGUCUUCGUGGGUCCUCUGCUCCUCCGCUGGAGCUGGCGGCUGGCCUCGUGCUGCUUUGUCUCGGGUGUUGCUGUGUGACCCGCGCUGCGACCGAGGCUGCCCGUCUCCUGGAGCUGAGGGUGGUUUCCAUGCUGUAGGGUGGUUUUCAUGCUGUAGGAGUUUGCGUCUCGUUACCGGGCGUGCGAGCGGCUUAGGCACGCUCAGUAAAUUGGUUUUGGAUUAAUGCGUUUGGCUUUGUUGAAAGCUUUUUGAUUUUUUGAAGGUGGAGUAGGUCCUUCUUUAGAAACUGUUGGUUUUAAAGCCCGUUUGUGUGGCGUUGAUGUGAACUCUCUUGUUCAAGCAUUGAUCAGAAGCCCCAGAGCUUCAAGGGAGGGACGUGGCGUGAACUCAGAUCUUCUUUAGAAACAGGUCUCACCUUUUCUAAUUGCAAAGAUCAGGCUGAAACGCUGCCCUGCAAUGGCGUAGAAAAUGAUAGCAAAUCACAGAUGUCCGACUUCUUUUUUUUUUUUUUU